rnacentral:tRNA from 1 species
GGCUUGAUGGUUUAGUGGUAUAAUUCUCGCUUAGGGUGCGAGAGGUCCCGGGUUCGAUUCCCGGUCAAGCCC